UCAUGCAACUCUGACUUCUCUAACUUGGUCAGAAAGGAGGAAGUUCUCUAAGUGAUUUACCACCCGGGUUCCACCAAGCCUCCCUCGUCCUCCUCUUGAUUUCAUUCAGGAGAAUGUGGAGCCAUCUGAACAAACUAUUCUUUGGGGGCAUUUUGCCUUCUGUCGCAUUUAAGGCGUCCUUACCAUUCUGAAGCUUGAACCUCCAAAUCGAAACGCCAUGUGGAAAAAGAGUCUUCUCGUGUUCCUUUUCUCUCUUCCAGUUCAAAAGGCUGCACUGGAUUGUGAGAGGAUGAGAAAAACAAAUGCCUCCAGACAGGGGUCAGAGGAACAUGGUGAAGGACACACUCUACGGGAAUGUGAUCAACAAAAUCCGGACCAUGGGAACCACUACGGAACAAACAACGUGCUGUGUUCAACAGAAUUCUCUUCUCCAAACCUGGAAUCAAAAACGCAUGAAGUCAUGAGGGGUCAAAAUGCAUCUCUAUUUUGUUCCCACAAGAACAAUUUGCUAGAAAUCACAUAUAAUUUGUUUCUGGGUGAGAAAAAUGUGGGAUGCCAUGAUAGAAAAGGUGAACCUGCAACUUUUAACCUAACGAUCUCAGAAGCCCGUGAUUUGGGCCCCUACAAAUGCAAAGCCCAAGUUUCUAACUGUUCAAAAUACAGUUAUGCGUUCAGCUUCACAUUUGUGGACCCAGUGGCUGCACCAGUGCUCAACAUUAGCGUCAUUCAAACAAAAACAGACCAAUAUAUAAUGCUACACUGCAUCUCAUUCAAUGGCUCCCUGCCCAUCAGUUAUACUUUCUUUGAAGAAAACAUCACUAUAUCACCAACUAUUUCCAAGGAUGUAAGAGAACCUGCUGAAUUUAACUUAACCAAGAGUAACACUGGAGAAGGGAAAGAAUAUAGGUGUGAAGCUAAAAACAGAUUGCCAAACCAUGCAAAAUACAGUCAAUUUGUCACCAUACCCUUAAUAGGUGGAGACAGCUGUCCUUUCUGCCUGCAGCUCCUGCUUCCGGGGUUAUUAUUACUGGUCCUAAUAGUAAUAAUUCUAGUUCUGGCAUUUUGGAUGCUACCAAAGUACAAAGCAAGAAAAGCUAUGAAAGGAAAUAAAUCCAGAGUCUAUGAAAAUACAUCCAUGGAAGCUGGAAUAUAUGCAAAUAUCUGUAAUAAGCAAGAAGAUGAGGAAUCAGUGCCUGACUCAGAAUCAAGACAAUGUGUUCCCAUAGCCCAAGAUGAAACUGAAGACUCCCAGGAGAUACAUUAUGCCGCCCCCAUGUUUCAGGCCGUGGCACCAAGAGAUCGGGAAGCCUCUAAUGAUUAUAAAACUGACCAUGUCUAUUCUGAACUCAACUUCUGAGAUUUAAAGACACAGUCUACAUCUCAUGCCUUGAAAGCAGAGCCAGAGAAGAGGCCUCCUGUGGAACAGAGGGACGCCAGGGAACAGGCAUGAACAGCUGGAGGAAAAGCCAGAACAAGGGCGAAAGGUUGACUUGGGCAUCACUGUGAGCCACUGGGUUCUGAUCCCACUGGAAUGUCUGAGGCGUGAAAAUGUCUCAGAAUUGUCCGCUUGAUGAUGGACAGCGAGAAGCAUUUAUCCAUUGGUUGCCAUGCCCCACUGGUUGAGGGUUGCCCCAGGAGGGGAUGCUUCCCCCACUUCUAGGCUGGGCAUGCUAAGUGGGGCGUCCACUGGUCUCUCACCCAGGGCACUGGAAAGCCCCAAGGCAGAAAUGAGUGGUAUAUGUUGUACACAGGAAGCAAGUCACUGUCAACACAAACUGAGGGAGGCUUCAGAUGCAGCUAGAAUCAGAGAUUUCCUUUCAAUUUGGAGAACACAGAACUACUGCUGCUACUGUUACUGUCAUUGCCUCUGCCACAACUGCCUCAUGCAGAAACUGUAGCCCAGUUGGAGUAUGGAGCUUUGCUACUCGGAGACAUUUGCUUUUUAGUGAAAACCACCACCUCUCUUCUACUUUCAAGAGCCCAGGCACGUGCAUUUGAUUGGUGGAAGAUAUCCACAGCCAUACCCUGGCAGCAAGGGAACUGUAAUUUUUCAAGUUUCUGAUCUCACCAAAUAGAAGGAGAGUUAUGAUGUGGCUUAAGAGAGCUUAAAAAAGAAAAAAAAAAAAAAAGCCAAUCAAAAUAGCUAUCACACUAGCCAAAAUAUCAAUCAACACUGAGGGUGAAUAAACCAUAGCAAUUAUCUUCUCAGCUCCACCUCCUAGAUAGAGUAAUGAAAAUAAGAACAAAAGUAAAUGGGACCUAAUUAAGCUUAAAAGUUUUUACGCAGCAAAGGAAACCCUAAACAAAUGAAAAAGACAACUCACAGAUUGGGAG